rnacentral:rRNA from 1 species
UACGUAGGUGGCAAGCGUUGUCCGGAUUUAUUGGGUUUAAAGGGUGCGUAGGCGGCUUUGUAAGUCAGUGGUGAAAUAUGGCAGCUCAACUGUCAAGGUGCCAUUGAUACUGCGGAGCUUGAGUACAGAUGAGGUAGGCGGAAUUGACGGUGUAGCGGUGAAAUGCUUAGAUAUCGUCAAGAACACCUAUAGCGAAGGCAGCUUACUAGGCUGUAACUGACGCUGAGGCACGCAAGUGUGGGGAUCAAACAGG